AAAAGRCGUAACAAGGUCUCCGUUGGUGAACCAGCGGAGGGAUCAUUACCGAGUUUACAACUCCCAAACCCAAUGUGAACGUUACCAAACUGUUGCCUCGGCGGGGUCACGCCCCGGGUGCGUCGCAGCCCCGGAACCAGGCGCCCGCCGGAGGAACCAACCAAACUCUUUCUGUAGUCCCCUCGCGGACGUAUUUCUUACAGCUCUGAGCAAAAAUUCAAAAUGAAUCAAAACUUUCAACAACGGAUCUCUUGGUUCUGGCAUCGAUGAAGAACGCAGCGAAAUGCGAUAAGUAAUGUGAAUUGCAGAAUUCAGUGAAUCAUCGAAUCUUUGAACGCACAUUGCGCCCGCCAGUAUUCUGGCGGGCAUGCCUGUCCGAGCGUCAUUUCAACCCUCGAACCCCUCCGGGGGAUCGGCGUUGGGGAUCGGGACCCCUCACACGGGUGCCGGCCCCUAAAUACAGUGGCGGUCUCGCCGCAGCCUCUCCUGCGCAGUAGUUUGCACAACUCGCACCGGGAGCGCGGCGCGUCCACGUCCGUAAAACACCCAACUUUCUGAAAUGUUGACCUCGGAUCAGGUAGGAAUACCCGCUGAACUUAAGCAUAUCAAUAA
rnacentral:rRNA from 1 species